GCCAAACACACUCCACAAUCCCUCACGAGGCAGGAGUGGAAUAUCAAGCAAACCCAGUCCCCUACACAAGCACCCCACCCAAUCACUCCGCCCCCAGAGCAUAAAACUCACUUUCCGGGAAGAAAAGGCAGAGAGCGAAGAACCACCCCCAUCAACCUACCGGACAAACAAACCCCAGCUAAAUCACCGCCAGCAACCCCAGUAAUAAGAAGGUGGCAAGCGUUGUCCGGCAUUCUUGGGCGUAAAGCGCGCGCCGGCGGCUUCCCCAGUCCCUCCCAAAACUGCGGGGCUUAACCCCUUGAUGGGAAGGAAAACGGGAAGCUGGAGUAUCGGAGAGGAAAGUGGAAUUCCUAGUGUAGCGGUGAAAUGCGUAGAGAUUAGGAAGAACACCGGUGGCGAAGGCGACUUUCUGGACGAAAACUGACGCUGAGGCGCGAAAGCCUGGGGAGCAAACAGG
rnacentral:rRNA from 1 species